rnacentral:rRNA from 1 species
AGAGUUUGAUCAUGGCUCAGGAUGAACGCUAGCGGCAGGCCUAAUACAUGCAAGUCGAACGAGAUUUAUGACUUCGGUUAUAAUGAAAGUGGCGCACGGGUGCGUAACGCGUAUGCAACCUACCCUUUACUGGGGGAUAGCCCGGAGAAAUUCGGAUUAAUACCCCAUGGUAUUUACAGAUGGCAUCUGAAGUAAAUUAAAGAUUUAUCGGUAAGGGAUGGGCAUGCGUGACAUUAGCUAGUUGGUGAGGUAACGGCUCACCAAGGCAACGAUGUCUAGGGGUUCUGAGAGGAUGAUCCCCCACACUGGUACUGAGAUACGGACCAGACUCCUACGGGAGGCAGCAGUAGGGAAUAUUGGUCAAUGGGCGAGAGCCUGAACCAGCCAUGCCGCGUGCAGGAAGACAGCUUUCUGAGUUGUAAACUGCUUUUAUAUGGGAAGAAAAAGGUCCUGCGGGACAAAUUGCCGGUACCAUAUGAAUAAGCACCGGCUAACUCCGUGCCAGCAGCCGCGGUAAUACGGAGGGUGCAAGCGUUGUCCGGAUUUAUUGGGUUUAAAGGGUGCGUAGGCGGAUCUUUAAGUCAGUGGUGAAAUCCUGCA